rnacentral:tRNA from 1 species
GGCGAAUGUAGCCAAGUGGAUCAGGGCAGU